rnacentral:lncRNA from 1 species
UCUCCCAGGCGUUCCCCUCUCCAGUUUCGCCCCACUCCCGAACGCCUCCGUCGCCGCUGUUGCCGUCGACCUCGCGGCCAUCAUGGCCCCCACGCCGAGCUGGGAGGUCCGGCAGAACCGCUGUCGUCUACUUCGUCUUCCUCGCCCACGAGGUCAAGCCGGGAGCCCCCACAUCGACCGGAUCGAGGUCAUCUUCAACCUCCGCCCCGCUGCUUGCCGUCUUCGAUUCGGCCUCAUCGGAACCUCCCCGAGCCCGCUUUGCUCACCUACAGGCUCGAUGUGAGCUCCUCUCUCUGUUCCCCAUCUCUUUCCCCUCAAAUUCGUCGUCGUUUGGCCGCCCCACACGUUGGCCACCCUGACAGGGAGCCCGGCUUCGCGCACCCGCGCUCCCCUGUCCGCUGCUCCAUUGACGCGCCCCUAGCCGCGCUUGCAGGCCUCUGGCCGCGUCGGGCCGCGGCCUUGGUCGCCCAGCGCGCGCCAACCCACACCUGCCUUGCCGCUCCUGCUGGAAGCCACAGCAGCUGCCGCCGCUACUCCCGUGAGUAGUCGCCGCUGCUGCUUCUGCUCUACUGCUUGCCCCUACUAGUGCCACUUCCUGCUGCCUGUUAUCAUGCCGCUAGCACCGCCGCAUGCUAUUGCCGUUACAGGUUCAGCCACCGGCGCCCCUAGGUGCGCCCGUGCGUGGGCACGGCCUGGUGGCCGGCUGACUCUCUGCCAUGGCCUUGUGUGGUGUGCGUGCGUGUAUUCUGGGUAUGAGGCCGGCCCUAUCCAGAUUAGUUAGUGCUAAUUAGAUUAGUUUAGGGCUGCUACUUCUUAUGUUAAAUAGCCUAAUGUGUUUGUGACAGGUGGUCCCUCACACUAUAUCCCCCUUUAGUUAAAAUAGUAGUCAAUGACAAGUAGGCCCCACGGCCACUAUUCACACUUUGACCAGGUCAAACAUUGACUGUGGACUUGCUGACUCUGUAUGCUGACUCAGCCACUGGACCCCACCUGUCAUUCUAAUAGGCUAGCUGUGUGUGUGUGUAUAAAAAGUAAUGCACUGUUUAAAUUCGAAUUUAGAUAUAUUCCAGAAAUCCAGAAAAUGUUUUAAAACUUUGAAAAUUCAUAGAAAAUAAACAGUAUCUCGGAUGAAAAUGUUUUCUACAUGAAAGUUGCUCAGAACGACGAGGCGAAUCCGAAUACAUGGUUCGUUUACCUGUCAGAUGCCUCUAACUAUCUGAACAUGGAACAUUCCCCCUCCGGUCAUCUGUCUGACACAGGUCCGGAACCGGGAAAACAUUCCCGGUUGAAUUCCCCCUUCGCCUAUAUCAUAUAGCCAUGCGUUAGGUCACACCCAGCACAACAUAUUGCCAUGUUACGCUUUGUGAUGCUAUGUCUGCUUUAUAUUUACUGUUUCUUCCCCCUCUUCUCUCCGGUAGACCCCGAGACCGAUGCCGCCCCUGUGAUCGACUACGUCGACGACGACCCCUCCUUGCCAGAGCAACCAGGCAAGCCCCCCCUUUGAUCAUCCCGAUAUCGCCCAUUCCAUUCUCUCAUGCUUGCAUUAGAUUUUGCUACUGUUAUUGUUUGCACCUAUUCUGAUGCAUAGCCUGCUUUUGUACCUACUGUUGUACCUUACCUGCUUAUCCUAAACUGCUUAGUAUAGGUUGGUUAGAGACCCAUCAGUGACCCCCCCCCACUUGACUCGACUGCCCCGCUGGAUUAUCAGAAGACCCGAUCAACGGGAUCGAAGACCAGGACCCGACACCUCACGUCACAUCACGCCCCUUCAUUGCUCGACUCUGCAGUGUUACUAUUGAGUGCCGAGGUUGAGACCUCUACAGCACUUCUGAUGUUAACCUAUAGUGUAGCUAUUCGGUCGUGGUCAUCGAGUGUGAUUUCCUCCUUAACCACUUCCGAUACGACUCUGUCGUGCAACCCCUCAAGUGUGAACCUCGAGGGUGGAUCCUCUUACGUUCACCUUGAUGAUUACAUCAAGUGGAAUUCACCGGGGGUGAUUCCUCGGGUUUUCCCCUUAAUGUUUGGACACACGGAUACUUGGACUUUACCACUGUUACUUGGAAAGCCGGGUCGACCCUGAGGGGUACCCGCACGAGCUUAAUUGCGAGUGAUGUGGAGUCGGGUUGACCUGGAGGGUGCCCGCGAGAUAAUUACGAGGCGUGGCCGGGCAUUCCUAGCCCUUGUCGCAAGUCCUCGAGACAGGGCAACAGGGUCACAUCUUUCGUGAGUCUCUGCUUGUUACCGCGCGUUCCUAAUCCACUACGAUUUGGAUAUUUGAUCCGAGGGGCCUCUGGCCUGAUAGCACUAACCAUCACGUGGGCAUAGUAUGGGCGUUCUGCGUCGUAUACAUCAGCCGAAGCUUAAUAGACGUUAGCGACUGAGCAGCGCGCGCCGGGUUGGACUGCGUAAGCGCCUGCCUUGUUGAAGGAGGUAGCUAGGUCUGCUCACCGGCCGCCCUCACAACGUGCAGGAGUUCCCGGGGAGAUGGCCCAUGACCCCUGGGGGCAUAGGUUUAGUCCGGCGUGGUGGCCUCUCUAUUAAGCCUAUGUCGGGUUGCGGCGUAUUGUUUGGCCGAGGCCGGGCAUGACCCUGGAAAGUGUGUCCGGCCGGAGUUAAGCGAGCGUGGUGGGUAAGUUGGUGCACCCCUGCAGGGAAGAAAACAUCUAUCGAUAGCCUGUCCUACGGUAACGGACACUUGGAGUUGUAUCCCGAUCGAUACAACUAGAACUGGAUACUUGUGAUGAGAAUUGGAUUGUGAUGAGGUGAUAACUGGAUAGUAUGGCUCUGGGAUUGCUUUCUCGCAGGGAGUCGAGAAAGGAUCUCUGGCCGAGGUUGAUAACACUACUACCACUUUACUUUAUGCUACUCUACUCCCUCUUGUUUGCUGCAAGAUGGUGGUUUCCAGAAGAUGCUAGUCUUCGAUAGGACUAGGCCUUCUCUCUAUUCUGGCAUUUCUGCAGCCCAGUCCACAUAUACAACCCCUCUUUGAUAAUGUUGCAUAUGUAGUGUAGAUCCUUGCUUGCGAGUACUUUGGAUGAGUACUCACGGUUGCUUUGCUCCCCCUUUUCCCCCUUUCUUCUUCUUUCCGGUUGAUGCAACCAGAGAUGUCGGAGCCCAGGAUCCAGACGCCACCUUUGACGACG